AAUCAACGCUGGCGGCGCGCUUAACACAUGCAAGUCGCACGAGAAAGGGAGCAAUCCUGAGUAUAGUGGCGCACGGGUGAGUAACACGUGGAUCAUCUACCUCCUUGUGGGGAAUAACCCUGGGAAACCGGGGCUAAUACCGCAUACGUCCGAGAGGAGAAAGCCGAAAGGCGCAGGGAGAGGAGUCCGCGGUCGAUUAGCUAGUUGGCAGGGUAAUGGCCUACCAAGGCGACGAUCGGAUAGCCGGCCUGAGAGGGCACACGGCCACACUGGCACUGAAACACGGGCCAGACUCCUACGGGAGGCAGCAGUGGGGAAUCUUGCACAAUGGGGGAAACCCUGAUGCAGCGACGCCGCGUGAACGAUGAAGCCCUUCGGGGUGUAAAGUUCUUUUACCCGUGACGAUGAUGACGGUAACGGGGGAAUAAGCUCCGGCUAACUUCGUGCCAGCAGCCGCGGUAAU
rnacentral:rRNA from 1 species